CGCCUGUUCCUCUGCCAGUCCUCAGGGCCCAGGGCAGUGGGAACCGAGUGGACGGUCAGGCCCAGGGAUAGCUGGGCCGCAUCGAAAUGUCAUCUUCUCGGGAGGCCAAAGGGCUGUGGUAACCUCCCCUGCCCUGGAGGAAGCGAGCAGACAGAUGCCCCAACUAAGAAGUUUGGAAGAACAUGUACAUGGUAUUCAGAGUGCUUUCCUUUGGGUGUUGGGAUUGUACAAUCAAACUAAGAUAAGGUCAUCGUUCGUUAGGGUGGGCCCUAAUCUGACCUGUGUCCUUUUAAGAAAAGAGACAGAGACACAUGAGGACAGCCCCAAAUGAGGAUGGAAGCAGAGGCUGGAGUGAUGCCAUAAGCAAGUAGAGUCUACAAGCCAAGAAACACGAGGAUUGCCAGAAGCACCAGAAGCUGAGAAAGACACAGCGCAGAUUCUCCCCAAGAGCCCUCAGAGAGAACAUGUCCAUGUGGACCCCUUGAUUUCUGACUUCUUCCUGCCAGAACUGUGAGAAACUAAAUUUCUGUUAUUUUAAGCAA